GACGAACGCUGGCGGCGUGCUUAACACAUGCAAGUCGAGCGGAAAGGCCACUUCGGUGGUACUCGAGCGGCGAACGGGUGAGUAACACGUGAGUAAUCUGCCCUUCACUCUGGGAUAGCCACCGGAAACGGUGAUUAAUACCGGAUACGACCACUCCAGGCAUCUGGUGGUGGUGGAAACUUUUUUGGGUGGGGGAUGUGCUCGCGGCCUAUCAGCUUGUUGGUGGGGUAAUGGCCUACCAAGGCUUCGACGGGUAGCCGGCCUGAGAGGGUGACCGGCCACACUGGGACUGAGACACGGCCCAGACUCCUACGGGAGGCAGCAGUGGGGAAUAUUGCACAAUGGGCGCAAGCCUGAUGCAGCAACGCCGCGUGAGGGACGACGGCCUUCGGGUUGUAAACCUCUUUUAGCAGGGAAGAAGCGAAAGUGACGGUACCUGCAGAAAAAGCACCGGCUAACUACGUGCCAGCCGCCGCCGUAACAC
rnacentral:rRNA from 1 species